rnacentral:misc_RNA from 1 species
AGUGUUGAAUUGAGGUGAAAUUUGAUGUUGAAGGGUGUCGAGUUGGGAUGAGGGAUGUGUACGCAGUUGAUAAACCACUUGAGGUCCUGCUGGCAGGGAUCGCCGGAUCGGUACGCAAAAUCCGGCUCCGAUGUGGUCGGCCGGCAGGAUGGGCUACUGUGGUACAAGGAUGUCGGGCAGCACAUGUAUGGGGAGUUCUCGAUGGCCGUUGUCCAGGCAAACAAUUUGCUCGAGGAUCAGAGUCAGAUUGAGUCUGGAUCUUUGAGUUUGGAUGAGUCGGGGCCGUAUGGGACUUUCGUAGGAGUCUAUGAUGGGCAUGGUGGUCCGGAGACUUCGCGGUACAUCAAUGAUCAUCUCUUCGAUCAUAUUAAGAGAUUUACGUCUGAGCAACAAGCGAUGUCAGCUGAAGUGAUUCGGAAGGCAUUCCAGGCGACGGAGGAUGGAUUCUUCUCCGUGGUCGCCAAGCAAUGGCAUUGGAAACCUCAAAUUGCAGCAGUCGGCUCUUGCUGUCUAGUUGGCAUAAUCUGUGGUGGGAAUCUUUAUGUUGCUAAUGCUGGAGAUUCCCGGGUUGUCUUAGGGAGACUUGUCAGGGCUACCGGGGAGGUUUUGGCUAUUCAAAUGUCAGCAGAGCAUAAUGCGAGUAUCGAGUCGGUAAGACGAGAGUUGGAGUUAUUGCACCCGGAUGAUUCACAAAUUGUUGUUUUGAAACACAAUGUGUGGCGUGUAAAGGGCAUCAUUCAGAUUUCUAGGUCAAUAGGUGACAUAUAUCUUAAAAAGGCAGAAUAUAACAGGGAGCCCUUGUAUGCGAAGUUUCGCCUGCGAGAACCUUUCAAAAGGCCUAUACUUAGUUCUGUGCCAUCAAUUAAAGUUCAACCACUAGAGCCACAUGAUCAGUUUCUCAUAUUUG